rnacentral:rRNA from 1 species
GUGGGGAAUCUUGCGCAAUGGUCUAACGACUGACGCAGCGACGCCGCGUGUGGGAGGACGCCUUUCGGGGUGUAAACCACUGUUGCCCGGGACGAACAGGGUCAUUCGUGACCCCUGACGGUACCGGGUGAGGAAGCACCGGCUAACUCCGUGCCAGCAGCCGCGGUAAUACGGAGGGUGCGAGCGUUGUCCGGAAUCAUUGGGCGUAAAGGGCGCGUAGGUGGCCCGGUCAGUCUUUGGUGAAAGCGCGGGGCUCAACCCUGCGUCGGCCAGGGAUACUGCCGCGGCUCGAGCACUGUAGAGGCAGGCGGAAUUCCGGGUGUAGCGGUGGAAUGCGUAGAGAUCCGGAAGAACACCGGUGGCGAAGGCGGCCUGCUGGGCAGUUUGGCUGACACUGAGGCGCGACAGCGUGGGGAGCAAAC